rnacentral:rRNA from 1 species
GGACAACCUGCCCUCGGGAGGGGGAUAACCCCGGGAAACUGGGGCUAAACCCCCAUAGGGGAUGGAUACUGGAAUGUUCCAUCUCCGAAAGUCCGCAAGGAGCCCGAGGGCGGGUCUGCGGCGGAUUAGGUAGUUGGUGGGGUAACGGCCCACCAAGCCUAAGAUCCGUACGGGCCAUGGGAGUGGGAGCCCGGAGAUGGACCCUGAGACAAGGGUCCAGGCCCUACGGGGCGCAGCAGGCGCGAAACCUCCGCAAUGCGGGAAACCGCGACGGGGUCAGCCGGAGUGCCGAUGCUUGCAUCGGCUGUCGGGGAGCCUAAAAAGCUCUCCAAGCAAGGGCCGGGCAAGGCCGGUGGCAGCCGCCGCGGUAAUACCGGCGGCCCGAGUGGCGGUCACUAUUAUUGGGCUUAAAGCGUCCGUAGCCGGGUUGGUUAGUCUCCCGGGAAAUCUGGCCGCUCAACGGUCAGAAUUCCGGGAGAUACUGCCAGCCUAGGGACCGGGAGAGGCCGAGGGUAUUCCCGGAGUAGGGGUGAAAUCCUAUAAUCCCGGGAGGACCACCUGUGGCGAAGGCGCUCGGCUGGAACGGGUCCGACGGUGAGGGACGAAGGCCAGGGGAGCAAACCGGAUUAGAUACCCGGGUAGUCCUGGCUGUAAACGAUGCGGACUUUGUGUCGGACAAGCUAUGAGCUUGUCCGGUGCCGGAGGGAAACCGUU